rnacentral:snRNA from 1 species
GUGUUUGCCUUGGCAGCACAGAUACCAAAAUUGAAAGGAUAUAGAGAAGAUUAGCAUGGCCCUUACACAAGGAUGACAUGCAAAUUCAUGAAGCAUUCCAUUAGGAA